AUCAUACUAAGUUGGUGCAAAAGUAAUUGCGGUUUUUGACAUUACUUUUAAUGGCAAAAACCACAAUUACCUUUGUACCUACCUAAUA
ensembl:miRNA